UGAGCUUGUCCAGGUCACCUCC
rnacentral:piRNA from 1 species